CUGUGAAAAACACUUGGCGAAUGAUAUUCACAAGUGGGACAAUAUUACACAGACCUUUAAGGAUUUAUGUGAUCCCUGGGAUGUUAGUAUACCUCCCCUUUCUUCUUACUCAAGAAUAUCAGUGAGUGAGGAUGAAAUUCUUACAGAAAUAAAUUUGAAUCCUCCAUCUGAAUUUAUUUUUAAGUAAAUCCGUUGACAACAAUUAUUAAUCACAAAGUACUUGUGAACCACUUCCCAAAGAAUCACAAGUGUGCAUGCCACAACAGUGCACUUAGAACCACUGACCCAGCUAGAUUGAAUUCUUCUGAAGUUAUUCACACCUAAUUAUAUGUGAUCUGAAUUUUUAGAAAUUCAUUAUGUAGCUAAAUACCAAUACCCAAAGCCAACCGGUGCCAUAAUUUAAGCACUUAAUUUGCCUUAUUACUCUCAUUUUCUCCUACUUGGCUUCCUUUCUCUCUUCUGUAUGAAAGAUUUGACCAUGGAAGAGGGCAGGGUAGCUGGUUAGCUCCCCUGACAGCAGGUACUUUCCUUUCCGGCAGUUGCCGUGUCUUUCAGCCCACCACUGACAAGCUGUUGAUAUGUGGAAGGAGUACCUCAGGUCGACUGUUCCUGCAGCCAGGCUGCUAGUAGUCAGUCCCACGGAAAGCUUAGCCGUCUCUGCCAGGCCUUCUGGUCCACAGAUGUCUCAGGAGCCCCGCCCUUUUGGUUUGUUGCAGUGGGAUUUGCAAAUGAUCAGCCAGUGCACCAGAGUUGUAACCGACCUUAAGGUGGACUUCCACGAAAGCAAUUGCAAACAUAAUUGGAUCUUUUCUUUAAAACUGGAGUACCUUAUGGACAUGAGUUUGUAUCCUUUGUGGUAAGACAAUUACUAUUUCUUCCUCUCUGACAGUCUGAAACCAGUGUGCAUUGCUACUGCAUGUGCCUACUUUAGCAAAGUCUCCCUGUUAAUAUAGAUUCAGAAUGGCGCCUGGAACUUAGAAAGUUUACAGUAACAUUAAUAUUGCAUGAAGAUAACUGUCACUCACUUACUGUAACCAGAUCAUAAGCUUUGGAUUGUUCCUAGUGAUAAUGAUGAAUGAGUUGUAACCCAUUCAUAUUUGUUCACCUGGUUGCUAUUGUGACUAACCAAAUAUGGACAUUAGUAAGUGGCCCAUCAAGAUUCCUUGCAAAUAGAAGAGUGACAUGAAAUGAUCCAGGAGGGAAUUACACCUCUGUUUUAGGUCCCAUUGGCUCCAUCAAACAAGCAUGGGGCUCAUACGUAUCCCUCCCCCACACCACCACAUACACACACCUUCUUCUCUCUCUCUAAACUCUGACCUCCCCCCAUCUCCCAGUUCAAAAAUAGACCAAGGAUACCACAGAAAACAGACUUCAGUAUGCAAAGCACCCAAGUGAACUGUCAUGUUCUUUAGGAAGGUGGCUUUCUAAAGCAUCUUUCUAGCUUUCAAAUGCUUCAUGACCA
rnacentral:lncRNA from 1 species